rnacentral:ncRNA from 1 species
AUUCCGGUUGAUCCUGCCGGAGGUCACUGCUAUUGGGAUUCGACUAAGCCAUGCGAGUCGAGAGGGUUCGGCCCUCG